UAGCAUCUUACAGCAAUGAAUGCAUCAAUUCAAAACAAUAUGAAGAGUGCAGCCAAAUGCAAUAAUCAUUGCAAAUCGCAGAAUUACGUGACUCAUUUUUCUUGAAUGUAGGCAUGUUCUUGGGCCAUUCCUAAGGACAUCAUUCAUUCAGUGCACCAU
rnacentral:rRNA from 1 species